UACGGAGGAUGCGAGCGUUAUCCGGAUUUAUUGGGUUUAAAGGGUGCGUAGGCGGACGAUUAAGUCAGCUGUGAAAUGCCCGCGCUUAACGCGGGAAGUGCAGUUGAUACUGGUUGUCUGGAGUGCCGUUGCCGUGGGGGGAAUGUGUAGUGUAGCGGUGAAAUGCAUAGAUAUUACACAGAACGCCGAUUGUGAAGACACCUCACGAAGCGGUAACUGACGCUGAGGCACGAAAGCGUGGGGAUCGAAC
rnacentral:rRNA from 1 species